rnacentral:rRNA from 1 species
AUACGGAGGGUGCAAGCGUUAUCCGGAAUCAUUGGGUUUAGAGGGUCCGCAGGCGGAUUAAUAAGUCAGUGGUGAAAUCCUCUCGCUCAACGAGAGAACUGCCAUUGAAACUGUUAGUCUUGAAUUCGGUCGAAGUAGGCGGAAUGUGUCAUGUAGCGGUGAAAUGCAUAGAUAUGACACAGAACACCGAUAGCGAAGGCAGCUUACUAGACCUGGAUUGACGCUCAUGGACGAAAGCGUGGGGAGCGAACAGGAUUAGAAACCCGGGUAGUCC